ACACAAAGAAGAAGAAGAAGAAGCGCUGCAUUUUUCAUGAAACGGGAGUAAAGUAGUGAACUUACAGGAACAUAUAACACCACCAACGUUUGGAUCGAUAUCUGCAUCGAUCUGCACACCCUUCUCUCCUGGAUUGUAGCUGAGAUCAGCGUGAACCACGUGGGUCUCUGCUCCCUGAUCUGUUUGGAAAGACUUCCAGCUUCAUCGCGGAGUUUCUCUCGGUUUGUGGGCUCAUCUAAAGCUGAGUAACAGCAGGAGAAGAGUCUGGUGGUGCAGCAGAGCAACAAUUUCAGCCAUUUGGACUCAGCUCAGCCACUACAGAGGAAACAAUGACUUCAACACAAAAGGACCAACAUGGAGCGAGAAGUCAGCGCUCUCAGGAGGCCGACAAACCUCACAGAAGAAAGGGAAAGAAAACCUUCAGCUGUGAUGAGUGUGGGAAGGAUUUUACCCAGGCUGGACACUUAAAAACUCACCAACUCAUCCACAGUGGAGUUAAACCGUACAGCUGUGACUUGUGUGGAAAGUCUUUUAACCAGGCUGGAUACUUAAAAACACACCGACUCAUCCACAGUGGAGUUAAAGCUUACAGUUGUGAGUUGUGUGGAAAGUAUUUUACCCAGGCUGGAAACUUAAAACACACCAACUCAUCCACAGUGGAGUUAAACCUUACAGUUGUGACUUGUGUGGAAAGUCUUUUACCUGGCCUAGAGACUUAAAAUCACACCAACUCAUCCACAGUGGAUUUAAACCGUACAGCUGUGAGUUGUGUGGAAAGUGUUUUACCCAGGCUGGAAACUUAAAAUCACACCAACUCAUCCACAGUGGAGUUAAACCUUACAGUUGUGACUUGUGUGGAAAGUCUUUUACCCGGGCUAUAGACUUAAAAUCACACCAACCUAUCCACAGUGGAUUUAAACUGUACAGCUGUGACUUGUGUGGUAAAAGUUUCAGCAACAAACACUACCGAAGUAUUCACCUACGGAUUCACACUGGAAAUGAUGUUUACUGCUGUGAUCAGUGUGGGAAACUGUUUACAACAGAUGCACAGUUACAACAACACAUGUUUAGCCACACUGAGGAGA